rnacentral:rRNA from 1 species
UACGUAGGGGGCAAGCGUUGUCCGGAAUCAUUGGGCGUAAAGAGCGUGUAGGCGGCCCGGUAAGUCCGCUGUAAAAGUCAAAGGCUUAACCUUUGAAUGUCAGUGGAUACUGCCGGGCUAGAGUCCGGAAGAGGCGAGUGGAAUUCCUGGUGUAGCGGUGAAAUGCGCAGAUAUCAGGAAGAAUAUCCGUGGCGAAGGCGGCUCUCUGGGACGGUACUGACGCUGAGACGCGAAAGCGUGGGGAGCGAACAGG